AAAAAAUUAUCUUAGUAGAUCGUUUGUGUUGGUGAAGAUCUUACAAAAUAUUGCAUUGUAAAAAAUAUGAAUAAUUAAACAAAGCUUUAAUGAGAAAUAUGAUUUAGAUGGAGAUUUGGGAAAAAAUUACACCUCGAAAAUAUUAGAAAUAACUUCCAAUUUGAAGAAACAAAAAAAACUAUGAACAACAAUUCCAUGACUCAACAAAACUUCACCUAUGUCUAAGAGGACCAAAGAAGAACUAACCUCGUGGGAAAUCGGCU
rnacentral:lncRNA from 1 species